rnacentral:lncRNA from 1 species
UGAGCAAUCUUUUUUGUUCCACUCCGAUGAUUCCGCCAUUGGUUGGGGUGUGACAAUUUUCUCAUCUUGAAUUUAAUCUGCCUGAAAAUCAAUUUUCUAGCCUGGAUUCCAACGAUCAGACUAAUUCCAAGGGCAUUCUGUAUCAAGACAGUGAUGACUUGCAAUAUAUACCUGGUAUAUGGGAUAGAGACUCAACAGGGUAGAUUCUAAAGUUUACAAGUUACAUAUCAUUUGUCAUGUGAUUAUCUACAUCCUAUGGUUGAGGAGGCUAUAAUUCAUUGAUGUCUACUUUUCUUUUGCGUACAAAGGCAUGCAUUUUCUGUACUUAAUCUUAGCAUUGCUAUAAAUAAAGUUUUGGUUUGUACAUAUACAAAUUUACUGCCGCAUCAGACAGAACUUUGUGUUGGUAAUGUCAUAUGGUCGCCGCCGCAGCAUCGCGUGGCGGGUCAAACCACUAGUAUGUAAAUAAAAAAGCAUCUUAUAUCAUCGGAUUUGAGGUUAACUUUGCACCCCCUUUUUAUU